GUCAAAGAUUUACAAUGCCUCAUGGGACGUGCAGUUCCACAACAGCUGGAGGGCCGUCAUUUGGAGAUCCCUGGUCUAAACCAACUAGAAGGGGGCUACCAAUGUAUCCAGGAGGAGUAGUGUCUGUCCCAUCUAGAUCUUGCCAGAAGACUACUACUUAAUCUGAGAGGAGUAGAGUCUGUCCCAUCUGGAUCUCACCAAGGGGCUUCUAAUGGAUCCAGGAGAGGUAGUGUCUGUCCCAUCUUGAUCUCACCAAGGGGCUUCUAAUGGAUCCAGGAGGGGUAGUGUCUGUCCCAUCUAGAUCUCACCAAGGGGCUUCUAAUGGAUCCAGGAGAGGUAGUGUCUGUCCCAUCUAGAUCUCACCAAGGGGCUUCUAAUGGAUCCAGGAGAGGUAGUGUCUGUCCCAUCUUGAUCUCACCAAGGGGCUUCUAAUGGAUCCAGGAGGGGUAGGUUCUGUCCCACCUAGAUCUCCCUGGGGUGCUUCUAAUGGAUCCAGGAGAGGUAGUGUCUGUCCCAUCUAGAGCUCACUGGGGUGCUUCUAAUGGAUCCAGGAGGGGUAGGUUCUGUCCCACCUAGAUCUCCCUGGGGUGCUUCUAAUGGAUCCAGGAGGGGUAGUGUCUGUCCCAUCUAGAUCUCACUGGGGUGCUUCUAAUGGAUCCAGGAGGGGUAGUGUCUGUCCCAUCUAGAUCUCACUGGGGUGCUUCUAAUGGAUCCAGGAGGGGUAGUGUCUGUCCCAUCUAGAUCUCCCUGGGGUGCUUCUAAUGGAUCCAGGAGGGGUAGUGUCUGUCCCAUCUAGAUCUCACUGGGGUGCUUCUAAUGGAUCCAGGAGGGGUAGUGUCUGUCCCAUCUAGAUCUCACUGGCGUGCUUCUAAUGGAUCCAGGAGGGGUAGUGUCUGUCCCCUCCAGCUCUUCCAAGGGGCUUUAAAUUGUUUCUGGAAGGGUAAGGUCUGUCCUUUUUAGAGUUCCCUGAGAGUCUUCUAAUAGAUCUCCACUGAAGGAUCUCUACAUGGAUGGAACACCUAGAUCCCUAUGGGAGGAGCUACCCAUGCAGCCUACAGUCACAUAGAUCAAUCAUUGGACCACGUGACCUUAAUCUAUAUUUGUCGCUGCUUGUGUAGCGCCCCCUAUAGCGUUGUUCCAUCUCUUGGUAUUGAAUAUCCAGCCUGGUUAAUCAAACUCUCCCUUGUAGCUCCGCCCUUAUAGUGAGUCACAAUUGUCAACCAAUAAUAAAUCAUUCAUAAAGCA